CAGCAGCCGCGGGAAUACGGAGGGUGCAAGCGUUAAUCGGAAUUACUGGGCGUAAAGCGCACGCAGGCGGUCUGACAAGUCAGAUGUGAAAUCCCCGGGCUUAACCUGGGAACUGCAUUUGAAACUGUCAGGCUGGAGUCUUGUAGAGGGGGGUAGAAUUCCAGGUGUAGCGGUGAAAUGCGUAGAGAUCUGGAGGAAUACCGGUGGCGAAGGCGGCCCCCUGGACAAAGACUGACGCUCAGGUGCGAAAGCGUGGGGAGCAAACAGGAUUAGAUACCCGCGUAGUCCCUGUCUCUUAUAC
rnacentral:rRNA from 1 species